AUCCCCCCACGCCCCCCCCCCCUCCAAACAUUUCAGAGAGUGUUCCAAACGUCCUUUUGUAUUGAACAUUUUAUCGGAAGUCAGACGGUGACUCGGUUUAACAUCACAGCAGUUGUUGAAACAAUCAGUGCGCUUCUGCUUGGAGCGCAGUGCCACCUGCUGGUGAGGCACGGGAAACCAAAGAGGACGUUUCAUGUUCAAUUCUUUGUUUUUGUUCAGCUUGGUGUCAUCUCGAGUGCUUGGGAGAAAGAAAUGGGUGUCACCUUGAAACGUUCCGCUUUGUGCACAGGGAAAAUAGAAACCUCGCUACAUGUUUUAUAUGCGUGUUUAUGAGCAAGACAGAGUUCAAGGGGGACGAAAAUGUGAUCAUGGCCACUUUUUUGCUUUUUAAAACGUGACUGUUUUGGAGAAAAUACUCACGCAUGUCAAAAGAGCACAAUACGUGCAGUGAAGUUUCAAAAACCUUUCAGAUCAUAAUCCUUUUUACUCUAUUUUCUUCACUUCUUAUAUUUAAUAAAUUAUUAGCCUUUUUUUAUAUUUUUGAACACAUAUACAAUGCAGGUGCCUGUUCACCAAUUUUAAUGUGGUAGAAAGCGAUUUUUUUUAGACAAAAUGAACUUUU